UCUGUACACAUCCCUUAUUAAGACGCGUCUUUUAUGAGCCCUGUAUUAUGUAUGUAAGUAUAACGCAAGUAUAAUGCACGUAGUUAUAUGUAUAUUCUGAUCCUCUCAUCUCAUUGUCUGCAGAGAAACUCGGUUCUAAUCAGGUGGGUGACGACAACCCUGACGGAAAACUUAAUACUCUUACUACAGGUAUUCCGUCUUGGAUUCGACGGCAGUUCGGCUUCGGCGACAGAAGAGGCGACAUCGGGAGCGACAUCAGUAGCAAAGCAGGUCCCUCAGAGCGACGAUGAAGAGACAGAACGAUGACCAUUGCGUGAUGGAACCGAAUCAGGACAUCAACGAGUCUCUCCAAAGAUCGACGCCUCUCCAUCCUGAUGAUGAUCAGAUGAUGGAUCUGCAACACAUGAGACGUACAACACCUUCCUUUUGCGAAGGUAUGUUUCAUCUAAUUUAUCCCUUUCGAGAGUCCAUAGUAUAUUCCAACAUUUAGAGUCUGCGUAUAUGAAUUGCACCCCC
rnacentral:misc_RNA from 1 species